rnacentral:rRNA from 1 species
CAGUCGCCGCAGUAAUACGGAGGGGGCUAGCGUUGUUCGGAAUUACUGGGCGUAAAGCGCACGUAGGCGGCUUGGUAAGUUAGAGGUGAAAGCCUGGAGCUCAACUCCAGAAUUGCCUUUAAGACUGCCGAGCUAGCAGGUGAGAGAGGUAAGUGGAAUUCCGAGUGUAGAGGUGGAAUUCGUAGAUAUUCGGAAGAACACCAGUGGCGAAGGCGGCUUACUGGCUCAUACUGGACGCUGAGGUGCGAAAGCGUGGAGAGCAAACAGGAUUAGAUACCCCAGUAGUCCCUGUCUCAUACAC